UCCCGGCUAGCUCAAUUGGUAGAGCAUUCGACUCUUAAUCGAAAGGCUGAGGGUUCGAGCCCCUCGUUGGGAG
rfam:Protomyces lactucaedebilis strain 12-1054 BCR37scaffold_1, whole genome shotgun sequence.